GACGUAGGGCGCGAGCGUUGUCCGGAUUUAUUGGGCGUAAAGAGCUCGUAGGCGGUUUGUCGCGUCUGCCGUGAAAGUCCGGGGCUCAACUCCGGAUCUGCGGUGGGUACGGGCAGACUAGAGUGAUGUAGGGGAGACUGGAAUUCCUGGUGUAGCGGUGAAAUGCGCAGAUAUCAGGAGGAACACCAGUGGCGAAGGCGGCUUUCUGGUCUGUAACUGACGCUGAGGCGCGAAAGCGUGGGGAGCAAACAGG
rnacentral:rRNA from 1 species